rnacentral:snRNA from 1 species
GGAUGUGAGGGCAAUCUGGCUGCAAUUUCUGUCACCCCAUUGAUCACCAAGGUUGAUUUGGCUGAUCUGGCUGGCUAGGCGGGUGACCCCUUCCUCCCUAACCAUGCCAUGUGCAUCCCUCCCAAAGCUGUGGCCUUGGUGGAAGAAAAGACCAUCCCCCAUAGAGGACCAGUUUUCGUUCAAGGGUUUAUGCGUAGCUGCACUACCUUGCUAGAACCUCCAAACAAGCUCUCAAAAAUCCAUGUUUAACUUGAUUUUCUACCAUCAACCUCAUCCUUUUCUAAAAAUUAAA